rnacentral:rRNA from 1 species
AACGCGAAGAACCUUACCUAGCCUUGACAUGCACUGGACAUCCCCUGAAAGGGGGCCUUCCCGCAAGGGACCGGUGCACAGGUGCUGCAUGGCUGUCGUCAGCUCGUGUCGUGAGAUGUUGCGUUAAGUCGCGCAACGAGCGCAACCCCUGUCCUUAGUUGCCACCGGGUAAUGCCGAGCACUCUAUGGGGACUGCACGGGUCAACCGUGAGGAAGGCGGGGAUGACGUCAAGUCAUCAUGGCCCUUAUGUCCAGGGCAACAAGCGUGCUACAAUGGAUUACACAAAGGGUUGCAAACUCGCGAGAGCCAGCUAAUCCCAAAAAGUAAUCCUCAGUUCGGAUCGGAGUCUGCAACUCGACUCCGUGAAGUUGGAAUCGCUAGUAAUCGCGGAUCAGAACGCCGCGGUGAAUACGUUCCCGGGCCUUGUACACACCGCGCAUA